CUCGGGUGAAGGAACUAGGCAAAAUGGUGCCGUAACUUCGGGAGAAGGCACGCUGACACGUAGGUGAAGUGAUUUACUCAUGGAGCUGAAGUCAGUCGAAGAUACCAGCUGGCUGCAACUGUUUAUUAAAAACACAGCACUGUGCAAACACGAAAGUGGACGUAUACGGUGUGACGCCUGCCCGGUGCCGGAAGGUUAAUUGAUGGGGUCAGCGCAAGCGAAGCUCCUGAUCGAAGCCCCGGUAAACGGCGGCCGUAACUAUAACGGUCCUAAGGUAGCGAAAUUCCUUGUCGGGUAAGUUCCGACCUGCACGAAUGGCGUAAUGAUGGCCAGGCUGUCUCCACCCGAGACUCAGUGAAAUUGAACUCGCUGUGAAGAUGCAGUGUACCCGCGGCAAGACGGAAAGACCCCGUGAACCUUUACUAUAGCUUGACACUGAACAUUGAGCCUUGAUGUGUAGGAUAGGUGGGAGGCUUUGAAGUGUGGACGCCAGUCUGCAUGGAGCCGACCUUGAAAUACCACCCUUUAAUGUUUGAUGUUCUAACGUGGACCCGUGAUCCGGGUUGCGGACAGUGUCUGGUGGGUAGUUUGACUGGGGCGGUCUCCUCCUAAAGAGUAACGGAGGAGCACGAAGGUUGGCUAAUCCUGGUCGGACAUCAGGAGGUUAGUGCAAUGGCAUAAGCCAGCUUGACUGCGAGCGUGACGGCGCGAGCAGGUGCGAAAGCAGGUCAUAGUGAUCCGGUGGUUCUGAAUGGAAGGGCCAUCGCUCAACGGAUAAAAGGUACUCCGGGGAUAACAGGCUGAUACCGCCCAAGAGUUCAUAUCGACGGCGGUGUUUGGCACCUCGAUGUCGGCUCAUCACAUCCUGGGGCUGAAGUAGGUCCCAAGGGUAUGGCUGUUCGCCAUUUAAAGUGGUACGCGAGCUGGGUUUAGAACGUCGUGAGACAGUUCGGUCCCUAUCUGCCGUGGGCGCUGGAGAACUGAGGGGGGCUGCUCCUAGUACGAGAGGACCGGAGUGGACGCAUCACUGGUGUUCGGGUUGUCAUGCCAAUGGCACUGCCCGGUAGCUAAAUGCGGAAGAGAUAAGUGCUGAAAGCAUCUAAGCACGAAACUUGCCCCGAGAUGAGUUCUCCCUGAGACUUUAGGUCUCCUGAAGGAACGUUGAAGACGACGACGUUGAUAGGCCGGGUGUGUAAGCGCAGCGAUGCGUUGAGCUAACCGGUACUAAUGAACCGUGAGGCUUAACCUU
rnacentral:rRNA from 1 species